CGCGCCAUUUCAGAAAGCAGUAUAAAUUAAAAGGCAAGCUGAAACAGCAUGGAGCUAAAAGAUUUGUAGAAACAUGUCCAUGUUAGGGGAGGAUGUCCGAGAUGCUGUGUUGGCAGUUCUACCUGGGCUGCCAGAGGAGAAACUCCUGUCUCUCCUGAACAAGUUGGCAAGCAUAGAAGUUGAGUCCAAGUCUGACCUUCAGUUUGUUAAACAGAAAGAUCUCCCUGAUCACAUUACACCAAUACAGUGCCGUCUGCUCCUCAAUGCGUGGAAUGUAGAUGACCCAACAGGUUAUGACAAAGUAAAUCCACAAGAAUGCCCCAUCCUACCACAACAGAGGACUCUCCAUUAUCAGAUUCUAGUUCCUCAUGCACACCAAGUGUCGCCAGCACAAACAGUUCCAGUACAACUGUGGACUUAAGUGUAUGGCCAGAAAACUUUAAAGUUCCCUGGAACAGGAUGCCAAACAGCCAUUUCAGUUGGAAGACGCCCCACAGCUAAAGAUCGCAGAGAAAUGGUAAGAAUUGUCAUUGAUGAGAUGAGACUGACCGAGUUAAAUCCAUCAAAAUCACUGUGCUUGACUGUGGCAAAAAAGGUUGUUCGACAGCAUCCACAAAGCUUUGCUGAUGUCCUGCAAGAUGGCACAAAAAUUGGUACUGGCUAUGGAUCACUUUUGAAUCAACUAAAAACAAGAGUGGAGCAUGUUAAUCGUGGCUGCACAUUAUCAAGACGAAGAAAACUGAAAAAGACCUAAAAUGCGUCAUCUGAGGACACUGCCCCAGAACCUGCAGACCAAUAUGGUUGUGUGAGAUGGCAGCCUGAGUGUCCCGUAGAAGAGACUGAGGGAAGUCUCAAAGAAAAACAACAAGAAAUGAAAGACCUCUACAGGACUGAGGGACCAGCUGGGAUUGCGAGAGGACAUCUCAGUCAGCUAAUGAAGGCAACAUAUUAUCUUCAAAGGAAGUCCAUCAAUUUCUACCCACCUUCAUCGAUUGCUGCCUUGAAAAGUGAAUGGCCGUAUCUUUUCAUGCCCAAAGAGAUGUACAUGCACUUUAAGUCUCUUACAAAUAUAACCAUUCUGGAGAAACUUGAGAAGUCUAUGGAAGAAAGAGGA